AGCGGGCGCCGAGCGGGAGCCGCGCGGGAGCAGCGCAGCUACGGCGGCGGCAGCGGCGGCGCGGUUGCGAUUCCGGGCCGUUGAGACGCCUCUGCGGCAGCUGGUGGCGCAGGUGGCUUGCGUGGACGCGGGUAAAGGCGACCGGCCAGCAACCGCAGCGUCGGCGCCCGCGGCCCCGGCAGGCGCGUCGGGACGCCCCGAGGCAUCAUCCCCCGCCCGUGGGCGGCCGGUGUCCGCCGCCCGCAUCCCCGCGCCGCCGCAUCUACUCGCCGCCUCCCGGGCUUCGGACCCCCGGCCUCGCCCCCGAAACAUGACUCGCGAUUUCAAACCUGGAGACCUCAUCUUCGCCAAGAUGAAAGGUUACCCCCAUUGGCCAGCUCGAGUAGAUGAAGUUCCUGAUGGAGCUGUAAAGCCACCCACAAACAAACUACCCAUUUUCUUUUUUGGAACUCAUGAGACUGCUUUUUUAGGACCAAAGGAUAUAUUUCCUUACUCAGAAAAUAAGGAAAAAUAUGGCAAACCAAAUAAAAGAAAAGGUUUUAAUGAAGGUUUAUGGGAGAUAGAUAACAAUCCAAAAGUGAAAUUUUCAAGUCAACAGGCAGCAACUAAACAAUCAAAUGCAUCAUCUGAUGUUGAAGUUGAAGAAAAGGAAACUAGUGUUUCAAAGGAAGAUACUGACCAUGAAGAAAAAACCAGCAAUGAGGAUGUGACUAAAGCAGUUGAUAUAACUACUCCAAAAGCUGCCAGAAGAGGGAGAAAGAGAAAGGCAGAAAAACAAGUAGAAACUGAGGAGGCAGGAGUAGUGACAACAGCAACAGCAUCUGUUAAUCUAAAAGUGAGUCCUAAAAGAGGACGACCUGCAGCUACAGAAGUCAAGAUUCCAAAACCAAGAGGCAGACCCAAAAUGGUAAAACAACCCUGUCCUUCAGAGAGUGACAUCAUUACUGAAGAGGACAAAAGUAAGAAAAAGGGGCAAGAGGAAAAACAACCUAAAAAGCAGCUUAAGAAGGAUGAAGAGGGCCAGAAGGAGGAAGAUAAGCCAAGAAAAGAGCCAGACAAAAAAGAGGGGAAGAAAGAAGUUGAAUCAAAAAGGAAAAAUCUAGCUAAAACAGGGGUUACAUCAACCUCCGAUUCUGAAGAAGAAGGAGAUGAUCAAGAAGGUGAAAAGAAGAGAAAAGGUGGGAGGAACUUUCAGACUGCUCACCGAAGGAAUAUGCUGAAAGGCCAACAUGAGAAAGAAGCAGCAGAUCGAAAACGCAAGCAAGAGGAACAAAUGGAAACUGAGCAGCAGAAUAAAGAUGAAGGAAAGAAGCCAGAAGUUAAGAAAGUGGAGAAGAAGCGAGAAACAUCAAUGGAUUCUCGACUUCAAAGGAUACAUGCUGAGAUUAAAAAUUCCCUCAAAAUUGAUAAUCUUGAUGUGAACCGAUGCAUUGAGGCCUUGGAUGAACUUGCUUCACUUCAGGUCACAAUGCAACAAGCUCAGAAACACACAGAGAUGAUUACUACACUGAAAAAAGUAAAUACGACGAUUCAAAGUUAGUCAGGUUAUCAUGGAAAAGUCUACAAUGUUGUAUAACAAGUUUAAGAACAUGUUUUUGGUUGGUGAAGGAGAUUCCGUGAUCACACAAGUGCUGAAUAAAUCUCUUGCUGAACAAAGACAGCAUGAGGAAGCGAAUAAAACCAAAGAUCAAGGGAAGAAAGGGCCAAACAAAAAGCUAGAAAAGGAACAAACAGGGUCAAAGACUCUAAAUGGAGGAUCUGAUGCUCAAGACGGUAAUCAACCACAACAUAACGGGGAGAGCAAUGAAGAGAGCAAAGACAACCAUGAAGCCAACACAAAGAAAAAGCCAUCCAGUGAAGAGAGAGAGACUGAAAUAUCUCUGAAGGAUUCUACACUAGAUAACUAGGUUGACAUACCUGGAAUAUAGAGAACACUUGAGAAGUUUGUAAUGGCUUUCAUUUGAAAUAGACUGCUGAAAGUUUUAAAUUUUUAUAAGCAUAGGUUUGAUGUUGAAAAUUUGUUACAGGGGAGAAGAUCCCUUUGUUUUAAAGUAAACAUUAUUGCUAAGUAUACUUGUGCAGUAUUAACAGCUACAUUAUACAGUAAAUGUGGGAUAAAAUCCAUUUAGAAAAUGUUAAACUGCUUUUCCAGACAUGGUUGUAGCAUAUUUUCAAUUAGUGUGUGUAUGUUAAUGUGUAAUUGAUAGUAGAACAAAGUUACAUUUUUAAAACUGCUACUUGUAUAAACCUUGCCUUUCCCCAAAUACCGUGGGUUUUGUGCAUAGUUUUUACAAACCUUGGAUUUACCAGACUGUCUUUUCACUGUUUGUGGGUUUUGUAGAAGUUGAGCAUUUUUAUGGUAGAUAAAAUGUUACUUCUAUACAAGUACUCACUCCCUUUUUAUCUAAAGUCUGUAUGGUUUGUUUGGUAUGACAACUAGUUAAGUAACUGACAUUGAACUGACUGAGAAAUCUACAAACUAUAAAACAUGAUGUUAAAUACAAACUAAAUUUUUGAAGGUAAUUAUGUUUGUGGCUGAACAUUCAGUGAAGUCUUAGGACUUCUCUGCAGAUAACUGACUGGCUAUAUAUAGGAAUGAAUCUGGCUUUAGGGUUAAAUCAUUUAAGGUCCUUUUAUAGGCAGGCACUAGUAAUUAAAACUGAAAACUAAGUAAGUUUAUUUUUGAGAAAUGUUAAAGAUGUCUUCAGGAAAUCACUAAAUAGUACUUAAUUGGAAGAAAAAAUCAUGAUGCUUAGACAAAUAUAAAUAAAUGCUAUAUGAGGAAACACCUAUUUGAAAUUAUGGCUAUAUUAUUUUUAUUUUCUAGAUUCCAAAAAUACAAACACUAGUUCUUCCAACAUAGUACUUUGAUAGUCUGUACAUUGACGUGUAUGGACUAAAUCCAGGGUGAAAUCAAUGUUACAAAAUUUAAGUGUAUGUUAACUAAAUGAUAGCAUUUCUAAGAUAUUUUGAUAUUAGGUCAUUUGGCAUUUUUAAAUAAGUAGGAUACUUAUCAUGUUUUGAAACUAUAUGAAUAUGGAAAAAAAUGGCUUAAGACCAGCAUCUGUGUAUGACAUUGUAUGGUUGACUCUCUGGGAUAACUGUUUUCAUCUACAGAAUUGAAGUUUUGCUUUUACGAGGUCUUAUAGUGGAACUAGGAAUCACUGUGUUGAGAGAACCUGCAUAUAUACCAGUCAUUAUCUGUUUGAUCCUUAUACAGUUUUAACUUAGAUUUAUUCUAGUUAAGCCAUAAGUUCAACGUGUAAACUUGUUUUGAUUAAAGAUUUUUUCUACCAAACUCUACUAGUAAAUUACUUUCUUCCUAUUUACAAGAGUAAGUGAUGAAAUUCUGGGUUUGCUGCGAAGGAAAUAAUUUCUUAGUUAACUAGUCACAGAGGUUGUGUUGUUUUGGGAAACAGGGUUAACUAAAUAGUAAGCUCAAGAUGA